rnacentral:lncRNA from 10 species
GCCGAGUUCCAGCAGGCCAGCCGGUCCCGGAACCUCGCGUGCUGCAGGAGGGCACUUCCCUCCUCCCCCAGUCCCUCGCCUGCGUUGGUGCGCUGGACACAUUUCCCCACGAAGUGAGCCACAAAUCUGGCUUUUUUUACUUGGAGAAUGAGUUGGCACUCUCCAGGAGGACACAGCACUGUUAGAAUGAGCCCCCUUUCUGGCUCACCGCUGACCCACUCUGGCAGGCAAGGAUUUACCCAAUGCAGCUGAAAAGAUCAGGAGGAUGACAUUAAUACAUAAAAAUUCAUAAAUUAUAAAAACGAUGCACCUCUCUGCAAUUUCCAGAAAAGCCCCACAAUAUCACCUCUAUUCCCACUGAUCCCUCACUAGGUCACCUCUCCCAGAAGCACCUGGAGCACCUAGACACCCCAACAAAGCAUCUUGAGGCCAGAAUGAUUUUUCAGUCCCGUUUAUUUCACAGAUGAGGAAAUUGAGGUCCACUGAACUUAAGUAUACAAAGUUGUUGAUUGUCACAUGCUUCCGGGAAGGAGGGAAUUGGAGAGACUACCAAAAAAGGGCAACCUGAUCUCCAGGGAAACAGAAGAAUUGGACAUUGAACCAAUCUCCCUACACCCUACACUCACCUGAACAGAAGAAAUCCCUGUGGUUGCAGCAGCUUUGUUGGCCAGGAAGGGGAGGAUUUGACGAGUGAGUUGUCUGUCUCCUGAAUACUCCCCACAUAGCCCGUAUACACUGCUGGGGAAACUGGGGCUCAGAGAAGUCUGGUGACCUAACUCAGAUCAUGCAGCAAAGAAAUGACUAUAGUUGGAACACAGGACUUUUGCCUCCUGCCCGGGGCUCUCUGCUUGUCAUCCUUUAUUUCUGUGGCUCCAAAAUGACAAAAAUGCCAAAUAACCCUCAUUUGCAGAUGGUUUAUGGAGAUGACAUAAAUAAAGGACAAUUCUGGAA